CGGACGGGUGAGUAACGCGUGGAAAACCUGCCGUAUACUGGGGGAUAACACUUAGAAAUAGGUGCUAAUACCGCAUAAGCGCACAGCUUCGCAUGAAGCGGUGUGAAAAACUCUGGCGGUAUACGAUGGUUCCGCGUCUGAUUAGCUAGUUGGUGGGGUAAUGGCCUACCAAGGCAACGAUCAGUAGCCGGCCUGAGAGGGUGAACGGCCACAUUGGGACUGAGACACGGCCCAAACUCCUACGGGAGGCAGCAG
rnacentral:rRNA from 1 species